rnacentral:rRNA from 1 species
UACGUAGGGUGCGAGCGUUAAUCGGAAUUACUGGGCGUAAAGCGUGCGUAGGCGGUUUGAUAAGCUGGAUGUGAAAUCCCCGGGCUUAACCUGGGAACUGCAUUCAGGACUGUUUGACUAGAGUCUGGGAGAGGGUGGUGGAAUUUCCUGUGUAGCGGUGAAAUGCGUAGAUAUAGGAAGGAACAUCAGUGGCGAAGGCGACUGCCUGGCCCAAGACUGACGCUGAGGCACGAAAGCGUGGGUAGCAAACAGGAUUAGAAA